GAUGAACGCUGGCGGCGUGCCUAAUACAUGCAAGUCGAGCGAACAGGUGAGGAGCUUGCUCCUCUGACGUUAGCGGCGGACGGGUGAGUAACACGUGGAUAACCUACCUAUAAGACUGGGAUAACUUCGGGAAACCGGAGCUAAUACCGGAUAAUAUAUUGAACCGCAUGGUUCAAUAGUGAAAGACGGUUUUGCUGUCACUUAUAGAUGGAUCCGCGCCGCAUUAGCUAGUUGGUAAGGUAACGGCUUACCAAGGCGACGAUGCGUAGCCGACCUGAGAGGGUGAUCGGCCACACUGGAACUGAGACACGGUCCAGACUCCUACGGGAGGCAGCAGUAGGGAAUCUUCCGCAAUGGGCGAAAGCCUGACGGAGCAACGCCGCGUGAGUGAUGAAGGUCUUCGGAUCGUAAAACUCUGUUAUUAGGGAAGAACAAAUGUGUAAGUAACUAUGCACGUCUUGACGGUACCUAAUCAGAAAGCCACGGCUAACUACGUG
rnacentral:rRNA from 1 species